rnacentral:rRNA from 1 species
AUGCCCCUCAGAUUCAGGACUCUACAGGAAAAAAGAAGGGAGUCGGUGCUGAUUGUGGGAGUUUAUGUGGAUGACUUGAUCAUCACAGGUGGCAGUGAUCGUGUCAUAGCAGAUUUCAAAAAACAAAUGAAGUCCAAAUUCAGUAUGAGUGACUUGGGGCUGCUGAGUUACUACUUGGGAAUCGAGGUGGAGCAAUCAACGGAUGGAAUCACUCUAAGCCAAUCCGCGUAUGCUGCUCGGAUCCUUGAGAAAAUGGGAAUGUCAAAUUGUAACGCAGCUCACACACCCAUGGAGCCCAGACUAAAACUUAGCAAAGAAAGUCAAGCUGAAGCCGUGGAUCCUACAAAGUACAGAAGUGUGGUUGGUAGUCUGAGGUAUCUCCUCCACACUCGGCCGGAUCUUAGUUUUUCAGUUGGGUUUGUGAGCAGAUUUAUGGAAAGGCCUACAGUGGAGCACAUGGUGGCUGUUAAGCAUAUCCUCAAGUAUAUAAAAGGAACACUAGACCCCGGUUGUAGCUACAAGAGGUGUAGAGUAAAUGGUCCUUGGCUGCUGGGCUAUUGUGAUAGUGAUUUGGCAGGAGACAUCGAUGAUCGAAAAAGUACUUCAAGGGUAUUGUUCUAUUUUGGGGGGUGCCCUAUAACCUGGAGCUCCCAAAAGCAAAAAAUUGUUGCUCAGUUAUCGUGCAAAGCCGAGUAUGUGGCUGCAGCCUCUGCUGCUGGUCAAGCCGUGUGGUUGGCAAGGUUGGUAGGAGAACUACUUGAUCAAGAGACAGAAAGAGCAGUGAUCAGAGUUGACAAUCAAUCAGCUAUCGCCCUAUGCAAGAAUCCUGUAUUCCAUGAAAGAACUAAGCACAUUGAUGUGCGAUACCAUUUCGUGAGGCACUGUGUAGAAGAUGGCACUAUCGCCGUGGAACAUGUGAGGACUGAAGAACAGCAUGCUGACAUUUUAACGAAGGCACUACCCAGAGUUCGCUUUCAAGUGUUGAAGAGGAAGAUUGGCAUGCUACUGGUCAAGUCAGUGCAUCUGGUUUAA